rnacentral:rRNA from 1 species
GAUGAACGCUGGCGGCGUGCCUAAUACAUGCAAGUCGAGCGAAUCUUCUUCGGAAGAUUAGCGGCGGACGGGUGAGUAACACGUAGGCAACCUACCCAAUAGACUGGGAUAACUUCGGGAAACCGGAGCUAAUACCGGAUAACAAUUUGACUCACAUGGGUUGAAUUUGAAAGUUGGCUUCGGCUAACACUAAUGGAUGGGCCUGCGGCGCAUUAGCUAGUUGGUAGGGUAAUGGCCUACCAAGGCAACGAUGCGUAGCCGACCUGAGAGGGUGAUCGGCCACACUGGGACUGAGACACGGCCCAGACUCCUACGGGUGGCUG